rnacentral:rRNA from 1 species
GUAGUCCACGCUGUAAACGAUGAGUGCUAGAUAUCGGGGAGUUUACUCUUCGGUUUCGUAGUUAACGCAUUAAGCACUCCGCCUGGGGAGUACGGUCGCAAGAUUAAAACUCAAAGGAAUUGACGGGGGCUCGCACAAGUGGUGGAGCAUGCGGUUUAAUUCGAUGUUACGCGAAAAACCUUACCAACCCUUGACAUGGUGGUCGCGGAUCGCAGAGAUGCUUUCCUUCAGUUCGGCUGGACCACACACAGGUGUUGCAUGGCUGUCGUCAGCUCGUGUCGUGAGAUGUUGGGUUAAGUCCCGCAACGAGCGAAACCCUCAUCCUUAUUUGCCAGCGGGUAAUGCCGGGAACUAUACGGAAACUGCCGGUGAUAAGCCGGA